rnacentral:rRNA from 1 species
UGGAGCCUACGGGGGGCAGCAGUGGGGGAUAUUGCACAAUGGGGGAAACCCUGAUGCAGCGACGCCGCGUGGGUGAAGAAGCGCCUCGGCGCGUAAAGCCCUGUCAGCAGGGAAGAAAAUGACGGUACCUGAAGAAGAAGCCCCGGCUAACUACGUGCCAGCAGCCGCGGUAAUACGUAGGGGGCAAGCGUUAUCCGGAUUUACUGGGUGUAAAGGGGGCGUAGACGGCGGUGCAAGCCAGAUGUGAAAGCCUGGGGCUCAACCCCGGGACUGCAUUUGGAACUGUGCUGCUAGAGUGUCGGAGG